CAUCUCCCCGCAUCCCACCUCCAGCCGCCGUCACCGGCCCAAUCAUCGCACGAAAGUCGCGCCGCACCCUGCCCUUAUCCUCGCUCGGGGAUGCCGCCGACGCAGGACGGCAGGAGCUUCCAAUCCGUCCCCGAGAUCGGCGAGGAGAUUGGUCGGACCGCUUCGGCGGCAUCCGCUGCUGCGCGUCCCGCUCCACCGGCGACCACUGCGCCGUCAAGUCGAAUGACCGAUCGCGCCUCGCCGACCUGGACUACGGCCUGGCCGGGCUCGAGCCCAAGCUGGCCUCCGCGGGAAACCCAGCGUCUUCCAGGUGCACGCGGUUACGAGGACGAGGCAUGGACGCACAUGGUGAUGGUCCGCCUUCGCCACGGCGCGCCCAUCCCGGAGCUGGAUGCCGCCGUUGUGGUCACGCUGCUCGCCGAGGCCCUCGAGAUCUUGCACCGCCGCAUCGCGCACCGUGACGUCAAACCGAACAAUGUGCUCCUCGACGCCUAGGACGCCGGCGAUGGGCCCGUGCGCGCCCACUCAGUAAAUUGUGGAGCGCCGGCGUGGGCCUAGGUUGAACAUGUCAUGGGAUUGGAUCGAGCGACCGCAUGAGUUGCCGCCGCUGCUGCCUGGGGUCGCUCACCGCUGCGUGAAAUCCAAUCACCGCAACUUCGCAAGCCUGGAGCCGAAUCGCCGUCGCUGUCGUCAGAAAGGAAAUGACAUACCAACAUGGGAUAUAGCAUCUCUGAGACCGUACCACAAGGACUUGAAAAGAGCCAUGGAUCCUACAAAUAGGGCAGUGUUUUUAUCUCAUCUCACCCAAUCAAUUAUUCCAUGUUUUAUUGUAUGCCAUUUUGUUAAUUAUUUUUAUAUAUCUUCAGUAUCGAUGUAUUGAUGCUUUUAGAAAUUGCCGUAUCCCGUGUCUCUGUAUCCAUAUCGCCGUGCCUCCAUCCCUGUAUCGGCGCAUCACAUUUAGCUCAGUUGGCUCUCUAAUUGCUUGGAUUGGUUGUAGAUUGAAGACUAGCCUAUUGGUUUAGAUAAAUGAUAGGUUUCUGGCGUGUCGGAAAGGAGUAUGGAGUUGAAUUUUAAUUUUUAUUACCGCGGAUCACAACGGCAAGAGGUAUGGUAUUACUUGACUACACAUUUAACUUUCUUUCUUUUUUGAAACGGAUACUACACAUUUAUCUUAUGAUUAUCUUGAACAACAUCUUUCAAAAUAUGCUGGACAAUCAUGCUUGAUGCUAAGAGAUAUGGUGUUACUUGACUACGCAUUUAUCUUCUGGUUAUCUUGAACAGAAUGUUUCAAAAUAGAUUGACAUAGUAGCGCACUAUCUCGCCCUUCCCACUAAUUCUAUGGGCAUAGGCUAUAUCUAUUUUGCCCGUCAACAUGUUGCGGCUAUUUCAAGGCAAGGUGUUCUAUGCUUCAUUUACAAAAUGACAAUUCAUGAUUCUCCGGAUUAAACAUCUUCUAUUUACUAAGUUUGUGCUUACCAGGGCAGCAUAUUAUAUGUGCCACAUAAAGUAUUUUUUUUUGUUUUAACCAUGGUGAAGUCAUUUCUAGAUCUUUUCACCCAGGUGGUGGAAUAACUAUAAAAAACAAACUAAGGUUCUUAUUCGUAGAAAUGAUAUUAUUGGAAUGAGGGUGUAUACUAGCAAAACUCAAAUUGGCUCCUUAGUACUUGGGCAUUGAAUACACAAUUGUUCAUGUAGAACAUCUUGAAUCCAAAUCUUUUUUAGGGAAAGUGGUUGGCCAAUUUAACCAUCAUACAACCAUUAUUCAGGUAUGUCUAUAUGAAUUCUUUUCAUUAGGCUUGGAACUUUAGACCUAAAAAUUGAGCUUGGCCAAAGUUACUUUAAUAGAAUGGAGAAAAUAUGUGAUUUAAAUUAUUAAAUAUAGUGGAAAAACAAUUCUCUUGUUUUCGAGGAGUUAACAACCUUUUUUUGCUGGUUGGUCUCAACAUGGCUGAAUCUCUAGCAUUUUAUUUCAACCGAGAUCUAUAAUUUGUAAACUAUGGUACCAUGUCGUAUUAUAUAUGAAUGUAUUUUUGCCUGUUUUUAUCGUUAUAAUUUACUUACACUAGCAGUAAAUACUAAAAGUAUAUGGCCAUAUGAGUCAUGCUUGCCAAGCGUCUUCUGUUUUUGUGAACAACUAUGAAAGUAUUGGUCUUCACUGUUGUGUGCACACCAGUUAGCACCAAUGAGCAGCUUAAUACCUUUUCCUUAACGAAUAAGGAUAAAUGGGAAGCGCAGAAUAAAAUCUUUGUGAAGAUUUUUUUUUGCGGAAGCUUGGUGAAGACAUUUCAACAGAGAUGCCAUAGUUUUGUAUAAGUGGAUUUAUUGCUUGGUUUCUAUAUGCCCUUUCUGGUUUAUUAUUAUUCAUUAGCGCCUUGUAAUAGAAGAUAUCUCACAAUCAAAUUUGAAGUGAAUCUACACAAGUCAUGAGAUGGUUGGCCAUUGUUGCCCAAGACGCUAUGUUCGAUUUUCUCCACCACAAUUUGUUCUUUGUUUGUGGUGGCAUGUCUUUUUGACCAA